GUGCCAGCAGCCGCGGUAAUACGGGGGGGGCAAGCGUUGUUCGGAAUUACUGGGCGUAAAGGGUUCGUAGGUGGCUCGCUAAGUCACACGUGAAAUCCCUCAGCUUAACUGGGGAACUGCGUGUGAGACUGGCAAGCUCGAGUGCAGGAGAGGAAUGCGGAAUUCCAGGUGUAGCGGUGAAAUGCGUAGAUAUCUGGAGGAACACCGGUGGCGAAGGCGGCAUUCUGGACUGCAACUGACACUGAGGAACGAAAGCCAGGGGAGCAAACGGGAUUAGAUACCCGAGUAGUCC
rnacentral:rRNA from 1 species